ACACUGGCAUUGCCCUAGUACGGCGAGUGAAGCGGCAACAGCUCAAAUUUGAAAUCUGGCUUCGGCCCGAGUUGUAAUUUGCAGAGGAAGCUUUGGGCGCGGCACCGACUGAGUCCCCUGGAACGGGGCGCCAUAGAGGGUGAGAGCCCCGUAUAGUCGGACGCUAAGCCUGUGUAAAGCUCCUUCGACGAGUCGAGUAGUUUGGGAAUGCUGCUCAAAAUGGGAGGUAAAUUUCUUCUAAAGCUAAAUACCGGCCAGAGACCGAUAGCGCACAAGUAGAGUGAUCGAAAGAUGAAAAGCACUUUGAAAAGAGGGUUAAAUAGCACGUGAAAUUGUUGAAAGGGAAGCGCUUGUGACCAGACUUGCGCCUGGCUGAUCAUCCGGUGUUCUCACCGGUGCACUCUGCCAGGCUCAGGCCAGCAUCGGUUCUCGCGGGGGGAUAAAGGCCCUGGGAACGUAGCUCCUCCGGGAGUGUUAUAGCCCAGGGUGCAAUGCCCUCGCGGGGACCGAGGUUCGCGCAUCUGCAAGGAUGCUGGCGUAAUGGUCAUCAGCGACCCGUCUUGAAACACGGACCA
rnacentral:rRNA from 1 species